rnacentral:rRNA from 1 species
ACGUACACUCCUGCGGGAGGCAGCAGUGGGGAAUAUUGGACAAUGGGCGCAAGCCUGAUCCAGCCAUGCCGCGUGAGUGAUGAAGGCCCUAGGGUUGUAAAGCUCUUUCACCGGUGAAGAUAAUGACGGUAACCGGAGAAGAAGCCCCGGCUAACUUCGUGCCAGCAGCCGCGGUAAUACGAAGGGGGCUAGCGUUGUUCGGAUUUACUGGGCGUAAAGCGCACGUAGGCGGACUAUUAAGUCAGGGGUGAAAUCCCGGGGCUCAACCCCGGAACUGCCUUUGAUACUGGUAGUCUUGAGUUCGAGAGAGGUGAGUGGAAUUCCGAGUGUAGAGGUGAAAUUCGUAGAUAUUCGGAGGAACACCAGUGGCGAAGGCGGCUCACUGGCUCGAUACUAACGCUGAGGUGCGAAAGCGUGGGGAGCAAACAGGAUUAGAAACCCCUGUAGUCCCAUG